AUGCCAACUCUAGCUCGAUACCUAAACCAAACAACACCACCAAACCUCUCCCCACGAACUAACUAAAACAUUCUCCACACUUAGUAUAGGCGAUAGAAAAGUUACUUGACGCAAUAGAGACCCUCCCGUACCGUAAGGGAAAGUUGAAAUAAUAGUGAAAACCCAAGCAAAAAACAGCAAAGAUCAACCCUUGUACCUUUUGCAUCAUGAUUUAGCAAGAACAACCAAGCAUAGCGAACUUUAGCUUGCCAUCCCGAAACCCAAGCGAGCUACUUGCAAGCAGCUACUUUGAGCAAACCCGUCUCUGUGGCAAAAGAGUGGGAAGACUUGCUAGUAGAGGUGAAAAGCCAACCGAGCUGGGUGAUAGCUGGUUGCCUGCAAAAUGAAUUUAAGUUCUCCCCUAAAACUCCCUACCGGACAAUACCAACCAGCCCCAACGUGACAAUUUAGGAGCCAUUUAAAGGAGGUACAGCUCCUUUAAAACCAGAAUACAGUCUCUACCAGAGGGUAACACCCACUACCUCCCCACAUGUAGGCCUUCAAGCAGCCACCAAUCAAGAGUGCGUCAAAGCUCACUCAACUUAAAAAUCCAAAAACAUCAUGAACCCCUCACCCCUAGCAGGCCAACCUAUGACUAUAGGAGAAUUAAUGCUAAAAUGAGUAACUUGAAGACCACCCCUUCUCUCAGGCGCAAGCUUACAUACCACAUUAUUAACAGCUAGACUAAUACACCCACGACACAAGAACAAAUAUUCCACUAACCUGUUACCCCAACCCAGGAGCGCCCACUAAGAGAGAUUAAAAUCUGCAAAAGGAACUUGGCAAACCCAAGGCCCGACUGUUUACCAAAAACAUAGCCUUCAGCUCAACUAGUAUUGAAGGUGAUGCCUGCCCAGUGACCGCAGUUCAACGGCCGCGGUAUCCUAACCGUGCGAAGGUAGCGCAAUCAAUUGUCUCAUAAAUCGAGACUUGUAUGAAUGGCUAAACGAGGUCUUAACUGUCUCUUGCAGAUAAUCAGUGAAAUUGAUCUUCUUGUGCAAAAGCAAGAAUGCCAUCAUAAGACGAGAAGACCCUGUGGAACUUGAAAAUCUAAGACCAAUGCAAACACCAUUCCAACCUACUCGGCCCACCCCUCUGCACCCAAUGAUCUUAAUUUUUUGGUUGGGGCGACCUUGGAGAACAAAAAAUCCUCCAAAAAUAAGACCACCACCUCUUAACCUAGAGCCUACUCCUCAAAGUACUAACAGUGACCCGACCCAAUAUAAUUGAUUAAUGAACCAAGCUACCCCAGGGAUAACAGCGCAAUCUCCUUCAAGAGCCCCUAUCGACAAGGAGGUUUACGACCUCGAUGUUGGAUCAGGACAUCCUAAUGGUGCAGCCGCUAUUAAGGGUUCGUUUGUUCAACGAUUAAAGUCCUACGUGAUCUGAGUUCAGACCGGAGCAAUCCAGGUCGGUUUCUAUCUAUGUUGCACUACCCCUAGUACGAAAGGACCGAGGUAGUAAGGCCAAUGUCCAACAACACGCCUUCUCUCUAAUUAAUGAUCCCAACUCAAUUAAUAAGAGCACACUAAAACUUAUACUCGUCCUAGAAAAGGACAG
rnacentral:rRNA from 1 species